UUCUUCAAAAAUUCCAAUUACUUAUUUUACGAUACGGAAAACUUAAGAGGAGAUAAAAAUAAAUGGCAUUGCAAUGCCUAUUAAACCGAAGGAUUUUAAAUUGUGGCUCCAUCUACAGAUAUUUUUCAAUAAGAUUUCUAAAGAUCAAAAAAAUAAUAAUGAAAAAAACAUUAGAUGGGCUACUCCCCUCAUUUAAAUUGACUUCUUUUUUUAUGUAUGCGAUUUUCGCAUUAAAAAUUCUGAUUUUGCUUUGCAACCGUGUUUAACAGCAGGUUGCGAUGUAAAUAGCCUUUAGCAAGGAUAUCGCAUGUCUCUCUCUGGUAGAUAAUUACACCCAAUCUGUACAUAGCCCUUCGGAUGGACUGACUAACCGACUAUCCUGACCUACCCGAGUGCCUUACUGGUCUGGGUCUGGUCCACCUUGGGGUCAAAACGUGGCUCUUUUAAACUUUAGCGCUCUCAUUUGGGUGGAAUCUAGCUACUCGAGAUAAUAAAACAAUGCGGAAUCUAGUUUAGUUUUGACAAUCGAGAAGUAUCAGUCGACUCUGUUACUAUCAAAAACCCAAAAGGGAUCAGGUUUUUUUUUGUCAGUGUGGCAAUAAUUUUAUACGUUAUAACUGUUUAAACACAAUAUGCUGUGUUUUGAAACAACAGCUGUUAACGAAACGCAAACCUUCGUCAGCCACCUGGUGAGUAGGAUUACAAUUUUUUAAAAUUGGUGCGAAAGUUAUGUUUUACGUUUUAAUGAGCAUUUAUAAGUUGUUUGUUGUCGUCAUUCAUAUCGAUGGUGUCUAUUAAUGUUUAUGCAUUUCUAACUGCAAAAUUUUGUUUAAUAAUGGCUUUUUAUGUUGUUAAUCAAUUAAGUACUUGUAACAUCUGUGAAUUUUUUAAUAACUAUAAUAAUAUCCUUAUCUGAUAGUUAA
rnacentral:lncRNA from 1 species